rnacentral:rRNA from 1 species
UACAGAGGUCUCGAGCGUUGUUCGGAUUCAUUGGGCGUAAAGGGUGCGUAGGUGGCUAGGUAAGUCGGAUGUGAAAUCCCGGGGCUCAACCCCGGAACUGCAUUCGAUACUGCCUGGCUAGAGUACUGGAGAGGAGAUUGGAAUUUACGGUGUAGCAGUGAAAUGCGUAGAUAUCGUAAGGAAGACCAGUGGCGAAGGCGGAUCUCUGGACACGUAUUGACGCUGAGGUGCGAAAGCGUGGGGAGCAAACAGG